rnacentral:lncRNA from 1 species
UCAAAAUAUUUAAACUGCCUGUAGUGGAGGAAUUUUAAAAGCAAAGAUCCCAAAAUUCCAAAACCACCCACCAUCCCUUUGAUUCUUCAAAAGGAGGGAGAGAGACAGACAGACAUAGCAUGUAGUCCUAAAAAUCAAGACUUCAAAAGGAGGGAGAGAGACAGACAGACAUAGCAUGUAGUCCUAAAAAUCAAGACUGGAUUAAGAAGAAGAAGAGUCUUGUUUCCUCAGAGAACAAAGAAUUUUUCUUUGUAGCCUUUGCUUAAGAAUUUUUCUCUGUAGCCUUUGCUUAAGAAUUUUUCUCUGUAGCCUUUGCUUAAGAAUUUUUCUCUGUAGCCUUUGCUUUGUCUCCAAGCCAACUUUCUUGUCUUUAACUUACCAUUCAAAGGUUCCAAUUCUGCUUCUCCUCUUUAUUCCUCAGUUUUUACUUGCAUUAUAAGUUUGGAAGAUUUUGUUUUCUUUUGCUGUCCAAAUGUAUGUUUUGAUCCACGGGUAAGAUUUACAGUGUACGUUUGAUAAUGAUGAUGAUGUUUCUUUUUCUUUUUUUAUUCUUUGUUGUAAGUUUUUUUGAUUUUAC